CCUACGGGAGGCAGCAGUGAGGAAUAUUGGUCAAUGGGCGCGAGCCUGAACCAGCCAAGUAGCGUGAAGGAUGACGGCCCUACGGGUUGUAAACUUCUUUUAUAAAGGAAUAAAGUGAGGCACGUGUGCCUUUUUGUAUGGACGUUAUGAAUAAGGAUCGGCUAACUCCGUGCCAGCAGCCGCGGUAAUACGGAGGAUCCGAGCGUUAUCCGGAUUGAUUGGGGUGAAAGGGAGCGUAGAUGGGUUGGUAAGGCAGUUGUGAAAGGUUGCGGCUCAACCGUAAAAUUGCAAUUGAUACGGGCAGCCUUGAUUACAGUUGCGGUAGGCGGUAUUCGUGGUGUAGCGGUG
rnacentral:rRNA from 1 species